AUUGAACGCUGGCGGCAUGCUUUACACAUGCAAGUCGAACGGUAACAGGGAGCUUGCUCCGCUGACGAGUGGCGAACGGGUGAGUAAUGCAUCGGAACGUACCCAGUCGUGGGGGAUAACGUAGCGAAAGUUACGCUAAUACCGCAUACGUCCUGAGGGAGAAAGCGGGGGACCGUAAGGCCUCGCGCGAUUGGAGCGGCCGAUGUCGGAUUAGCUAGUUGGUAGGGUAAAGGCCUACCAAGGCGACGAUCUGUAGCGGGUCUGAGAGGAUGAUCCGCCACACUGGGACUGAGACACGGCCCAGACUCCUACGGGAGGCAGCAGUGGGGAAUUUUGGACAAUGGGCGAAAGCCUGAUCCAGCCAUGCCGCGUGAAUGAAGAAGGCCU
rnacentral:rRNA from 1 species